UGUGGCUGAUGUGCAAGAAAAACUGAAAAGUAGCUGUGCCUGAGGACAGAAGAGGCAGGAAGAGAUGCUAUUCAGCUGGACUGUCAUUGCCAUCUCCUUCUGCCUACCUUCAUCCACAGGAGUCUAACUCAAAGGCCAUGGAGCCCUACAGGCCAGCGUGGGCCUCUGAUCAAGCCCCAUUAGAAAGGGGAACCUCCACUUGCUGCAGUGACCAUAAUGCCUCCCAAGAACUGCGAUCCAAGGGUCCUGAUGUCUCAUCUUCUAUUGGAGCUGGACCACCUCUUCGAUGAGGACCCACACUGGGAGCUCCCCGGAGGCUCGUGCUCCUGUGGCACACAGUGGGCAGCCAAGAUGCUCAACAGAU